rnacentral:ribozyme from 1 species
AUCGGCAUUAUCCAUAUCAUCGGCCGUAGUUUGCUUCAAAAAAUGAACGAGUAAAAUGAAGUGGAUAUUAUUUUUCAAGGAGGGAGGCACUUUAACGUCGUCAUAAAACUCCCUGUCCAAAAUAAUGAUAAAAAGGGUGCCUGUGUUGGUUUCCUGUUGUUGGCGGUGCUCUAGAACAUCAUUGAUUUCACUGGUUGACUGUG